AUUGAACGCUGGCGGCAUGCCUUACACAUGCAAGUCGAACGGUAACGCGGGGCAACCUGGCGACGAGUGGCGAACGGGUGAGUAAUGUAUCGGAACGUGCCCAGUUGUGGGGGAUAACUGCUCGAAAGAGCAGCUAAUACCGCAUACGACCUGAGGGUGAAAGCGGGGGAUCGCAAGACCUCGCGCAAUUGGAGCGGCCGAUAUCAGAUUAGGUAGUUGGUGAGGUAAAGGCUCACCAAGCCGACGAUCUGUAGCUGGUCUGAGAGGACGACCAGCCACACUGGGACUGAGACACGGCCCUGACUCCUAUGGGAGGGAGUAGUGGGGAAUUUUGGACAAUGGACGCAAGUCUGAUCCAGCCAUGCCGCGUGCGGGAAGAAGGCCUUCGGGUUGUAAACCGCUUUUGUCAGGGAAGAAACGCUCUGGGUUAAUACCCCGGGGUAAUGACGGUACCUGAAGAAUAAGCACCGGCUAACUACGUGCCAGCCGCCGCCGCAGUAA
rnacentral:rRNA from 1 species